AAGGGUUUGGCUGUUCGCCAAUUAAAGCGGUACGUGAGCUGGGUUUAAAACGUCGUGAGACAGUUUGGUCCUUAUCUGUUGCGGGCGUAGGAUAUUUGAGAAGAUCUGUUCCUAGUACGAGAGGACCGGAAUGGACGAACCACUGGUGUUCCUGUUGUGGCGCCAGCCGCAUCGCAGGGUAGCUAAGUUCGGAAGGGAUAACCGCUGAAAGCAUAUAAGCGGGAAGCCUACUUCAAGAUAAGAUAUCCCGUACCAAAUGGUACCUGAAGGCACGUCGCAGACUACGACGUCGAUAGGUCGGGUGUGGAAGUGCAGUAAUGCAUGGAGCUUACCGAUACUAAUCAGCCGUGCGGCUUGACCAU
rnacentral:rRNA from 1 species